rnacentral:tRNA from 1 species
GCUCAGUUGGUUAAAUGUCUGACUCUUGAUUUCGGCUCGGGUCAUGGUCUGAAGGUUGUGGGAUCAAACCCUACAUUGAGCU